AGGGAAUCUUCCACAAUGGACGCAAGUCUGAUGGAGCAACGCCGCGUGAGUGAAGAAGGGUUUCGGCUCGUAAAGCUCUGUUGUUGGUGAAGAAGGACAGGGGUAGUAACUGACCUUUGUUUGACGGUAAUCAAUUAGAAAGUCACGGCUAACUACGUGCCAGCAGCCGCGGUAAUACGUAGGUGGCAAGCGUUGUCCGGAUUUAUUGGGCGUAAAGCGAGUGCAGGCGGCUCGAUAAGUCUGAUGUGAAAGCCUUCGGCUCAACCGGAGAAUUGCAUCAGAAACUGUCGAGCUUGAGUACAGAAGAGGAGAGUGGAACUCCAUGUGUAGCGGUGAAAUGCGUAGAUAUAUGGAAGAACACCGGUGGCGAAGGCGGCUCUCUGGUCUGUUACUGACGCUGAGGCUCGAAAGCAUGGGUAGCGAACAGGAUUAGAUACCCUGGUAGUCCAUGCCGUAAACGAUGAGUGCUAAGUGUUGGGAGGUUUCCGCCUCUCAGUGCUGCAGCUAACGCAUUAAGCACUCCGCCUGGGGAGUACGACCGCAAGGUUGAAACUCAAAGGAAUUGACGGGGGCCCGCACAAGCGGUGGAGCAUGUGGUUUAAUUCGAAGCAACGCGAAGAACCUUACCAGGUCUUGACAUCCAUAGCCAGUCUAAGAGAUUAGAUGUUCCCUUCGGGGACUAUGAGACAGGUGGUGCAUGGCUGUCGUCAGCUCGUGUCGUGAGAUGUUGGGUUAAGUCCCGCAACGAGCGCAACCCUUGUCAUUAGUUGCCAGCAUUAAGUUGGGCACUCUAAUGAGACUGCCGGUGACAAACCGGAGGAAGGUGGGGAUGACGUCAAGUCAUCAUGCCCCUUAUGACCUGGGCUACACACGUGCUACAAUGGACGGUACAACGAGAAGCGACCCUGUGAAGGCAAGCGGAUCUCUGAAAGCCGUUCUCAGUUCGGAUUGCAGGCUGCAACUCGCCUGCAUGAAGCUGGAAUCGCUAGUAAUCGCAAAUCAGCACGUUGCGGUGAAUACGUUCCCGGGCCU
rnacentral:rRNA from 1 species